rnacentral:rRNA from 1 species
AGAAUCAACGCUGGCGGCGUGCCUAACACAUGCAAGUCGAACGCGAAAGUCCCGCAAGGGAUAAGUAGAGUGGCAAACGGGUGAGUAACGCGUGGGUGACCUGCCUUCGAGUGGGGGAUAACGUUUCGAAAGGAACGCUAAUACCGCAUAACAUGCCGCCUUUUAAGAGGUGGACAUCAAAGCCUGGGACCGCAAGGCCAGGCGCUUGUAGAGGGGCCCGCGUCUGAUUAGCUAGGUUGGUGGGGUAAUGGCUCACCAAGGCAACGAUCAGUA